rnacentral:rRNA from 1 species
UACGUAGGGUGCAAGCGUUAAUCGGAAUUACUGGGCGUAAAGCGUGCGCAGGCGGUUAUGCAAGACAGAUGUGAAAUCCCCGGGCUCAACCUGGGAACUGCAUUUGUGACUGUAGAGCUGGAGUACGGUAGAGGGGGAUGGAAUUCCGCGUGUAGCAGUGAAAUGCGUAGUUAUGCGGAGGAACACCGAUGGCGAAGGCAAUCCCCUGGACCUGUACUGACGCUCAUGCACGAAAGCGUGGGGAGCAAACAGG